GACAGGGGGCGGGUGAGGGUUAGGCGGAGGUGAAGCGAAGAAAGCGGGGGGCCAAAGUUGAAAAGUGGGCCCAAAUGAGACUUAGAAGUAGAAGAGCCUUUGGCUUAUGAGAUAAAGUAAAAAAAAAGGGGAAAAAAUCUUGACCGUGGCCUCCUUGUUACAGGAAGGGCGAUGCGAGUGACAGAAGACAGACAUAAAGGCGGCAAGCUAAUACGCAGUGUGAUCCCUGGCCAGAUGAAUGAGAAAAACUAGUAAAAAGUGGAGACAUUUAGGGAUUGCCAGAAUGGUGUGAAAAACAGUUUGAGAGCGGCGCCCGUUCCGUGGCCAGGAAUAGGGAAGGGGAUGUGUGUGGGCUUGAGACAUAGAGCUGCUGCAAGAAAGGAAGCCUCCAUUCAGGUAGAGAAAUCUGUGGGUAGAACAGGAAGAAAUAAGCUUGAAGAAGUAAAAGGAAAGACUUCGAUCCAAUGCAAGAAAGGACUUGGCAUCUGUGGGGGCUGGUGAGCCCAGAACAUCUGACUGAGACGUCUAGCUUUGCCUUCUGGGACACUUGAUCCCUUCCCCACCCUCUCCCUGUCAGGGCUGUCCUGCCUGGAAGAGAUGGGGUGCAGAGUGACGGCUAAAGAAACAAGAAAUCAAUGGGAAAAAAUACCCUAGGGUGAGGAUUAAAAAAAAAAGAAAAGAAACAUCUUCAACCAUUUUCCUAAUUCAAACCACUGCGAAACCACCAGAAAAUAGUGCUUAAAAGGGCUAAGUUCAGAAAUGUGGAAAUCAGCCACCACAAGUGUCUACACAACUUUGAUGUGAAAACUCAAGUCCUACCUGAGACGGAGCCACGUGCUGCAUCAGAGUGGCCUGGGGAUGACCAUGAAGUGACCAUGUUUGUGAAGCUAGCUGGAAGGAUUGAGCCCUGGCCUGAAGAUCGGGUAAAUGGAAGGACCUCAGGGAGAGAUAAUGACAAAGGCAAUCCGACACGGAAGUGUUUCAAGGCCAAAAAAAGAAAAAGGCGCCAGUCAGAGUUUGGUAAUAUUCCAGCUGUACCCACGGUACGUCACACUUCCUCUCCAAGUCUCAGUUCUUCAAUGGGGCAGGCGCCAUGUCCGCCUCCCACCCCAUUGUACCCCCACGUCUACACUGCUUUUUAGGAUGAAUUCUCUGGUGGAUGAAGAUCUUGGGGGAGGCUUUCCCACAUUCUUCAGACUCGUGGGUUCUCUCCCACGUGCACACACCGAUGUGGAGCUCAUCUCGACGGGAGGCUCCCCCACAGCCACUGCACUCACGUAAUCGAGUUCCACGACACUGAGUCAGGUGUACCUUCCCAGCUUCCAACUCACCCCGAGGGCUCUCCCAUGGACACCUCAGGUGCAGGCACAGGGUUCUUUCCAGUAGGAAUUAUUAUCUGAUGUUGUAUAAGAUGGUUACUCCACCCAAAUGAAGGCUUACUCACGUUUA